rnacentral:lncRNA from 1 species
AAUGGUUACAUUUUAUUUUAUGUAAAUUAUUACUUAAUAAAGUUGAUUGGAAAGAAAUAUAGGGAAUUUUGAAACCGAUUGAAACUCAGACUUUAGUGGAGGUGCACUAAUUUCCUGGUACUAGUCUCACCAAGGUGGCAGGGUGAGGCUGGUUCUACCUGUUGGAAAAAAAACCCGAACUGCAUUCAGCUGCUGUUCUAGGAAAGAACUGCUGGGAAAGAAGCUUUUUUAAGGUGCUGUUCACCUAGGAAUGGAGAAGAGACAGGAUGUCAACAGGAAGCAAACAAAAAUGAGCAAUUCCUUUCCUCCUCUUCAGGCCUUGUAUUCUCCCUCUAGUGUGCCCCAGAGCAGAAGUGGGUUGCGUAGUCUUGAUUCCAGCGUCAUGUAGUGACUAUAGCAUCACAGGUUUGGAGGUGAGAAACAAUGGCUUAAUAGCUGGCACCCCUAAUAUGCGCCAAACAGUGUACUAAGCCUUGCAGGUUGGACAAAGAUGGAGAGGCUAGUGUUUGCCUUCAAGGAGCUUACAGCAUCACAGGGCAUAUAAAUCUCUGUGUCAAUAGCUGUAACCAAAGUUACAGUGAGAUAUUGCUAUUCUGGGAUUGUGGAAACAAAGUGCUGUGGGUGUCCAGAAGGAUCAUGAGUCAUUUUCAGAUGGGGAUUUGGAGAGAGUUCUUUAGGACAAGUGGUGUGUCAACUGGGGUGGGAAAGUUGGAUAAAAUUAUGACUGUUAGAAGUCAGGUGACAGUGGAGUUGAUGGUGAGGAUGGUAAUGGGUAUAGCAGGAAGAGCAUUCUACCCUGGCUGGUAAAGUUCAUGUUAUUUAAUUCGAACUUAGGAUAUUAGAAGAGCAGCCCAGAGGAAUUGAGAUGAGUUGAGGCCAGAUCAUGGGGAGUCAGUCAUAAAUACCAUGCUGAGAAAUUUAGGCUUUUUUUGUACAGGCAGUGGUGUGAAGUCAAAGCCUUCUAACUUGAACCAUAAAAAUUAUUGUUUUAUCAUUUAAACUAGUGAUUUUAAAACCUGAGUGUUUAUCAAGCUCAGUUGGGGCAACUUCUGGAACUUUCAUACACUCAGGUACUAUUCCAGACUUUCCUGAAUCAGAUUGAUAAUCAGCUCAAACUCCAUUUUUCUCACGGAGUACUUUCUUGAUCACUGUACUGAAAGUGGCUCCCCAGUUAUUCUAUAUCACAUUUUAUUAUUUUAUUUGCAUAGCAUCACUUAAUCGUCAUUUGUACUGAUCUUGUUUACUUAUUUGAUGACUUGUUUUUGUUUGUUUCUCCCAAGUAAAACACACGUUCCGUGUAGGGAGGGACAUGGUUGUCUUCCUCACUGCUGAAACCAUGGUGCCUGCAGUGGUGCUGGACACAUGACAGACCAUCAGAAUAAUAUUUUUGGGACUGCACUGUGCAGUGGAAAGAACAGUCAUUCCGGAGCCACGCAGCCUGGGGUUGGAAACGUGCUCCGUUACAUUCCAACUGAAUGAAUGUGGAUGCUUCAAAAGAAAAUGAAUUCCACUGUGAGACGGGCAAGAGGGUAAUUAAAACCCAUGAAGUUGAAGACACCAGAAGUUGAGCAACUAAAGUGGGCCAGGUGUGUUUAAUUAAGUGGUUAUUUCUUGUUCGGUGAUAAGUCCUUAUGUUAGCAACAUCACAUUGUGUGUACAAAAAAAUUUCGGUUCGCAGAUUAAUUCAGUCAUCAAAGAUACUCCAAGUGAGUGUUACGAUUUGUAAUAUGGAUUUCAAAGCUGCAGUCUGUUGAUGUUCAGACAGUUUAAGAGGAUUUGCUCAAUAAGCAGAGAUUUGUCUUGCAACAAGACUGUCUGGGCCACCUACAGAAGAAAGCAAGUUACACUCCUCAGAUUUGCCUUUGAAGAAUUCUAGCAACUGGCUGUCUCACACCUACCCUUGCACAUGCGUUGCUGGUUUCGUUCAGCUACAUGAUCCCUUUGCUGUAACUAGGAUGGUCUCCUCACCACCACCGGCACCAGUCUGCCUGAUUCUGGUCAGUGUAUCUUGGCUGAUGGUUUUUCUC